UAGCAUGACCAUAGAGUGAGUCGCAAGUUUAAUUUUUGGUUCUUUGCAUACUCUUAAAUUUACAUAUGGUAAUCUUAAGAUGUAUGUGAUUUUCUGGUUCCUUAUGUAGAUACUCAAGUUUCAUUUAGAAAGUAAGUUUAUCCCACAUUGCGUAGUCAGUAGUCUCAUGCUUGGUAAAAGGUUUUGUUAUGCUACUUUACAUUGAAGUUGAUUAAAUUUUGCUAUAGAUUUUGAUCAAUUUCACAUUGCAUGCUUGCAUCUGUAGUUGUUUCUUUGGCUUCGACCACAUCAAUAUCUACUAGCAGCGACGCAUCGACUUCACCACCUCCAUCAAGGUCAAUGUUUCUUAUAGCCCCCUUGAUUUUUUUUUUCGUUCUUUUGAAUGCAUGAAUAAGAAGUCAUGUGUUUGUGCGAUUCUGACGGAUAUCCUUGGUGGCGCACUUGGUUGGUUGUACUGUUGAGUUCCAACUUCCGAUUACGGAUUUUUGGUCAAGUUUCAGGGUCCUGACAUCAUGCCCUUGAGCUUUUAAAAUUUUGCACCGCAGGAACUACUUAGUAUUGCGUGGAACUGGUUAAAUUCUGAAGCCCUUUGCCCUCAGUUCACUAAUGAGGGUCCUGUAGAUGCCUGCAUCGUAUCAUACAGUGAUGAUUUACUCUUUCGAUUUAAGACCGUCAGAUCAAAUUGUAAGGAACCUUUGAGCGCUGCACCUACAACAUAACAAAUAUUGAGCCUGCCAAUGGAUUGAAGAGAAUCAAAUGGUAGCGAUGACACUUUUUAUUGGCAGACGCCAUGAUCUCCAUCGUGUGCCUGGUUUGGUUACAUGAAGUUCAUGUUGAUGAUCUACCAUGACCAUCCACGUUCGUUGACAUCCUAGC